rnacentral:rRNA from 1 species
GUAGUCAUAUGCUUGUCUCAAAGAUUAAGCCAUGCAUGUCUAAGUAUAAGCAAUUAUACCGCGAAACUGCGAAUGGCUCAUUAUAUAAGUUAUCGUUUAUUUGAUAGUACCUUACUACUUGGAUAACCGUGGUAAUUCUAGAGCUAAUACAUGCUAAAAAUCCCGACUUCGGAAGGGAUGUAUUUAUUAGAUUAAAAACCAAUGCCCUUCGGGGCUCACUGGUGAUUCAUGAUAACUCCUCGAAUCGCAUGGCCUUGCGCCGGCGAUGGUUCAUUCAAAUUUCUUCCCUAUCAACUUUCGAUGUUUGGGUAUUGGCCAAACAUGGUUGCAACGGGUAACGGGGAAU